CAUCCCCAGUGAAGGACGCCAUUUUUUGCUUACCAGUUCUUUUGCGUGGUUAGGUGGAUAAAUUAUUUUGUUAAUAAUUGAACCAUUAAAGCAUCAACAGAUUAGAGAUACUUGAUGAUCAAGAGAUUGAUGCCCGUGAUAAAAUUCAUAGAAAAUGACUAUUGGGAAGCGGCUUCCUUAUGGUAUUCUAGCUCAAUUGCUGACACAUCAUGAAGAUCAAUUUGGCCUAUAAGUCAUUGGUGACUUUAUUUACUGUACCGUGGCCUACCGCCCAUUCCACCCGAUAAAGUUUUGCAUUUUUAGUUGACGGUCAUCACAUCCAACGAGCCGGGCGUAGCUAAUGUAAAGCUAAGCACCAAUUGCGCCAACUGUGGAUGGCAUACCACCUUGUUAGUGGCCCCGGAAGAUCUUCAAGUUCUGGAACAGUUAUUUGGUCAACUUGUCAAUGCAUCUUCGUAAGGCUAACUGUAAAGUCUGAGAUAAUGUUAACUGAAUUCCAUUAGAUUCUAUUUCAUUCCGCACUUUUUUGUAGUAUGAACUGGACCGAAAAGGUGUGGACAAAUUAUCAAAAAC